rnacentral:misc_RNA from 1 species
GGAAGUAAAAGUCGUAAUAAGGUUUCCGUAGGUGAACCUGCGGAAGGAUCAUUACAGAGUUCAUGCCCUCACGGGUAGAUUUCCCACCCUUGAAUAUUUAUACCUUAGUUGCUUUGGCAGGCCGUGGAAACACCAUGGGCUCCGGCUUAUGCGUGCCUGCCAGAGGAAACAAACUCUGUUUUUAGUGAUGUCUGAGUACUAUAUAAUAGUUAGAACUUUCAACAACGGAUCUCUUGGUUCUG